UCGAACGCGAAAGGGGCUUCGGCCCUGAGUAGAGUGGCGAACGGGUGAGUAACACGUGGGUGAUCUACCUCUGAGUGGGGGAUAACGUUCCGAAAGGAGCGCUAAUACCGCAUGACGUCCUGGGUUCGAAGACCUGGAAACCAAAGUCGGGGACCGCAAGGCCUGACGCUUGGAGAGGAGCCCGCGCCUGAUUAGCUAGUUGGUGAGGUAACGGCUCACCAAGGCGACGAUCAGUAGCCGGCCUGAGAGGGCGGACGGCCACACUGGGACUGAGACACGGCCCAGACUCCUACGGGAGGCAGCAGUGGGGAAUUGUUCGCAAUGGGCGCAAGCCUGACGACGCAACGCCGCGUGGAGGAUGAAGGUCUUCGGAUUGUAAACUCCUGUUGACCGGGAAGAAUGAGCUCCGACCUAACACGUCGGGGCAAUGACGGUACCGGUUGAGGAAGCCACGGCUAACUCUGUGCCAGCAGCCGCGGUAAUACAGAGGUGGCAAGCGUUGUUCGGAAUUACUGGGCGUAAAGGGCGCGUAGGCGGUCGCCUAAGUCGGACGUGAAAUCCCCAAGCUUAACUUGGGAACUGCGUCCGAUACUGGGCAACUUGAGUUCGGGAGAGGAAUGUGGAAUUCCAGGUGUAGCGGUGAAAUGCGUAGAUAUCUGGAGGAACACCGGUGGCGAAGGCGGCAUUCUGGACCGAAACUGACGCUGAGGCGCGAAAGCCAGGGGAGCAAACGGGAUUAGAUACCCCGGUAGUCCU
rnacentral:rRNA from 1 species